CCCCGCUCCCGCGCGGUGGGAUCACGGAGGUCGCUGUGGACCCGGACUUGUGGUCGCGGUUGGAGGAAAAAGCGCGCGCCGAACGUGAGCCUGAUGAGGCUGGUAGCCCGGUCAGGGAAGGUGGCGAGGCCGACCGGAAAGCCGACGAUGAGGAAGAGGAGAGCGACAAAGGGUCGGGGUCAAGGAGCGCGGGGUGGCGCGCGUUCCGACGGCUCUGGGACAGGUUGCUGUCACCCGCGCGCCGCUGGCGGCGCCCGCUGCCUAGCAACGUUCUGUACUGUCCGGAGAUCAAGGACUUUGCCCGUAUGACUCGCUGCACGCUGUAACCACGGGGCCCUAGAAGCUGAGGCAGAAGGAAGGUGGGAGCUGCACUCUCAGGGCGUGCUGUAGUUCAAGCGGUUGAUGCCAAGGCUACCCCCUUUCCCAUCCCAGUAUUGGCACUGAUGAGGAAGUGGAGCCUAGGGCAGGAGGGAACGCCCUGGGAGGUGUUGAUGCUGAGCUGGGGAGGCUCCUAGACGAAUCGCCCCCAUUUGCUGACUGUGCCAGCCUUACACACUCAGGAUAGAGUGGCCCAGGAAUGAUAAAAACAAAGUCUGUGUUCCCGUGGGAAGACGACAGAUUGUUUCCUUAGCUGUGACUUGGCUUUCAUCCAGGGCGGCUCUGGUGUGUGGGAGCAACAAGUCCCAUUUUAGCAAUUGUGUCAAUGGUUUAAAAAUUUCAAAAAGAUGGAACAGGAAAGAGGCUGAUUUUCAUGUCAUGUUAAUCUCAUUUCUCCACCACAUAGGAGAAUUGAGAAAAAUAAGCUGUUUGCCCCACCGCCCCCCUUCCCCAUGCUGGUAUGCCUGCUGUUUCCCCACUUUCCUGCUCCCAGUACUGUAUUCCUAAAAUUAUCAAGAUGCUUUCUGCCUUGCUUCAUUUCAGAAUCUCCCUUCAACCUGUUAGGUCAGGUAUCAGAAGGUCCAAAGAACAGUAAUCUGAGGCACCUAAUUAGGGCCUACUCAAGGAUGGAAGGGAGAGACAUUCAGUAAAGGUAUCAAGUUUUAAACUUUUGAUAUGUUUUUACAGUCAUAGGGAAACACUGUCACUACUGAAAAAAGAUGCUCAUCAUGUAAUUUUAAUCUUGUGUCCCAUAAUUGGAGUUCUACUGUAUGCCAUGAAUUGUUUUAAAACCCCAUCAGUAUAUUACAGUCAAUGGGGGCUUGUUGGAAGUGCAAAAUCUCAGGAUUUCCCUUCAGACUUACUGAAUCAGUACCUGCAUUUUAACAAGAAUCCCAGCUGAUCUGUGUGGACAUAAAAAUUUAAGCAUCAGUCCAAGUCCUAGAUGCUCUAGGAUGUUACCAUUUAUGGGUGAAAUAUUUAGAACACAAAUGGUAUUUAAUAAAUUACGAUUUUAUUGAAGGUUCUAAAGCGAGUCUGUUGCUGAGGAAAUCUAUAUUCUUCAUGUGCAUAGUUGCAUUUUCCUGAGUUAAAAUGUGAACUUAAGUAUAAACCUCAAUUUUUGUAACCGUAUUUUAGCUUUUUUUCUUGUCUCAGCUUAAAUGUUCCCUUUUUUGGGAGGCCCUUCUUAGCAUUCUACCUGGUGUUGCCCCUUCCCUCAGAAAACAUAAUGCCAUUUUAUGUUCACUGCUUUUAUUUUCAGAUAGUAUGUGUUUUGUUGGUGUCCCCCAGUAGAGUAAGCUUCAUGAGAGCAACGACUGACUUGUGACUGUUGUAUCUCCAGGGCAACAACAGUGUUAAUGUAUAGUAUGUACUCAAUAAAUGUUUGUUGGAUUUAUCUUUCAUUUUUUAA